CGACAUGGACCUGCUGUAUGAUUCGGGAGUAUUCAACUGUGACUAUCCUAAAACUCUACAACAGAAAGUUUUCUUCGAAAUUAUGCUGUACUUUUGUAACAGAGGGAGGGAGAAUCUCAGACCGAUUAUACAGUUCACACAGAUAAUGAUGGCAGGCGCUAUGUGUCAUCUUCAGUCUCAAGAUUAACCAAGAAUCACAGAGGAAAUGGCAGUGAUGAUGAUCAUGAUGGGGGAAGGUGUAUGAACAGCCUGGUAACCCUAAUUGUCCAGUGACAAGUUUUGAGAAAUAUAUCUCAAAAUUGAACCCUGAUUGCAAGGCAUUGUGGCAAAGACCCAAUUCUCAGGCGACAGAACAAGCUCGUGUGUGGUAUGACAACAUGGUUGUUGGAAAGAAUACUCUGGGCUCCAUGAUGCAGAAAAUAAGCAAGGAUGCUGGCCUAGGAUGUAUUUACUCUAACAAUUGUAUAAGGGCUACCUGUAUCACAAUGUUGGAUAAUAGUGGUUAUGAGUCUCGUCAUAUCAUUGGUAUAUCCAAGCACAAGUCAGAAUCAAGUUUGAAACAAUAUUCAUCCAAAUUAUCUGUCGGU